UUUAUCUAACGACUUGAUUCAAUCCGACCUGAACCCAGAUUACCCAUUUAGACCCGCGGCCCACAGGCCGCAGCCGCAACUCACAGAAAAAAUCGCUCAGACAGUCGGCUUCCGUGAGGAGUCCUCAUGCCCUUAACCCAUUCAUUGCUUGAUUAAGCUUUCAGCCCAGGCUAGCCAGACCCAUAAUCCUAUUCACUCUCUUUCGAAGGGGAUCCAUCACCCCAUUCGUAAUCUCUGUUAGCCCAUCCAUUACCCCAUUCUUUCCCAACUCCCGAUUCUCCAUUUCUCACCUGAGUGCUGAGGCGGAGGAACCCUAGAGAAAACCCUUCCUUUCCGGAUCGAUCUCUCCCUUCAUGCUCGUCCAAAACCGUAGAGCCUGCAGCGAUUUAGCAAGUCUCUCCGACGUGCUUCGCCCCUUCUCCUAAAGUAUCUCCCUCCUCCGAAACCCUAAAUCUGCAACUUGCCCUCCAUUAUUAUCCUUCAUUCUCUCUUCUUCGAUUCCUCCUCCUCUAGAUAUUCCUCCCUUCUUCGAUUCUUCGAAACCCUAAGUCUUCCUCCUCAAGAUAUUACUCCAGUUUGGGUCCUUGUAUAACCCUAGGUUUCAGCAUUUUUUUAGAUAUUUUUGACUAUUUGAUGAAAUGCGUAAGUGGGCUUCUAGGUGCCGGUCUUGGCUCUGUUUUCCACCUGACUUUCUGUGUGAAUGCAUUUUUUUCCUAUGGGAGGAAUGAGACAUCUCCUUCUAGAGUCACAGGAUGCGCAGUUUUGGAUGGGUUGGGCAUGAAGUUCGAGCAUCAAAGUUAUAAGUUAGUUCAUUUUCUGAUACCGAUGAACCUUUGAAGAUCAUGCCUUACAUAAUCUCUUGGGCAUCAGUCUAGGGCUUAUGCGGCCGUGUCACGUGAUCGACCUGGAUGUUGGGUUCGGGGCGUAACAGAAGUGUUACCGAAAUAGCAUACCUUGAUGUAACUCUUUAUACAACGUAUCAAACUAGAUAAAAUAGACUAUUGUUACAUUAAAUCCAGAAUGGAUGUUGUAGAUUAUUACUGUUCAAGUACCAUAUUGAGCGUGAAUAAUAUGCUUUCUCAUUACUCUUGACUUCA